rnacentral:rRNA from 1 species
CCGUACCGGCGGUGGGGAAGUCUAUGGCUGCCGUGACCUCGUGCCUUGGGGUAGUGGUCUUCAACUGGGGUUUUAUUACCACCGUCCCAAGCUGGAUCAAUGAGAAGGCCCCCGCCGUGAGCUGCCAGCAGUGCCUGUGGGGGAGCACCACGUUGUCGAUGCUGCUGUUCUUUGUGCUGGGUGUGCUGGGGGCUAUGGCAUACGGGGACGCCGGUCCUAACCC